rnacentral:snRNA from 1 species
AUGCUCUGGUUUCUCUUCAACAUAUGAGCUAAUCUUCCGCUUUUUACUAAAGAUUACCGUGGAGAGAAACAUUAAAAUGAACCUUAUAUACUUCCUUUUUUAAACGGCG